UGCGUCUCUUGUCACUGUAUUCCUGCACUUUACAGCGCGGCGUGUCUGUUCAGUUUGUUUAUGUGUUGUUUACAGAUAUUAUAAUACAAUCACGGAGCUGUCAGGAUUUGUUUUACGUGUUGUAUCUUCAAGCCUCAUGCUGUCAGUGAGUGUCAAACACCUGAAGCUGAAGCGCCCCCUAGUAGAGCGGAUGGAGAACUGCGUUACAGUUUAUAACAUAAAGUCCGCGUUGUAGGCUUAAACAGGCUUAACAUUAUUAUUUUUAUAAUUUAAUAGCGUAUUACAAGCACAAUAAUUAAUUCUGACUGCAUUGUCUAAUUAUUAUACUCAAGAAAACGUGUCUAAUCAACUCGUGUAUGGGUGAUCUUCAGCUCCGGCAUGUGGUCAAUAGGUGUAUCCGCAUUAAUGAAGUAAACACAAGGUGGACGCGCAGUCAGUCGUGUGAACAGCGAAGAGAGAUUUAAGAGAUUUUAAUGUUCUCGAGGAUAUUUUACAACACGCUUGAGUUCGUGAGUGUCUCGACCGGCAGAAGAUCGAGAUCAGCUUUAAACUGAUGGAUUAAAAGAGCUGAACUGAGAAGCUCAUGGAAACACACUCAGGAAUGAAUGGGCAAUCCUCCGAGACUCUGGGUAAAGUAGAUUGAUGAAGAAGAUGUAAAGCUCUGGGUCUAUGGAUGGUUCAAGAUGGAUGAGUCAAUGACAAACACUCCUUUUCCAACACAGUUCAAACCACAGCCAAACUUCAGAGGGUCUGAUCCUUCAUCAUGCACUUAUAGUUGCAGGUUUCAGCAAGUUGUUUUGACUCAUUCAUUCUCUGGGUCUGAAUUCUAGACAUCAACAAUCAGCAUUCUUCACAUCAAGACUUCAUAUCCUGUUAAGCAAAUGCAAUAUCAGGAAUUGAACUGAAUUUCGAACCCACACUGUUGGUUGUGGGCAAGUUUACUAAACUGAACUGAGUAAAGCCACAGUCACACUAGAGUUUGAGCAUGUGAGAUACGGCACUGUGAAAAGGGGCAGGAUAAAAGAUGAUGAUUAGACAAUGAUAAAGCGAGCGACUGCUUCAUAUUUUACAUUUCUGCACAGAGAGGUCUUGUUUUGAUCUUCUAUUUCUCUCACACAAUCGUAUAAUGUGAUUUCGCCAGUCACCAAUCUUGAACUUUUAAAUGCAGCGACAUCUGUCUUCGGAUGAGACGUUAAACUAAAAUCGUGACUCUUUGUGGUCAUCGGAAAACCCAUGGCACUUCUUCUAAAGAGUAGGGGUGUAACCCCAGUGUCCUGGCUAAAUUCCCUUCAUCUGCUCUUAUCCAUCAUGUCCUCCCAAUCAUCCCCAUCCACAGAAUUGGCUCUAUCACUGUCUCUGUACUCCCCCUAUAGCUGGUGUGUGGUGAAGCACUGGCGUAGUUAUCCUGUGGCUUUCAUCACAUCAUGGAUGCUGCACUCUGGUGGUGGUGCGGAGAGACCUCCCCAUCCCUCUUGAUUGUGAAGCGUUUUAGGUGUAUGGCCAUACACGAUGAAUGCGCUAUAUAAAUACACAUUACAUUACAUGAGAAACUGAUCACACCAGCUUGCGGUUCCAGUCUGCUGCAUGCAUGUGCAUAUGGAUGGAAGUCUAUGGGACAAAAAGAGCAGUGUGACUGUGGCUCAGGAAAUAUAGUUCUUGAUAUCUGUAACUAUUCUUACCAGUUAAAUGUCACCAUAGGACGCCGUUCACAUUUAAUUGUUGAUAAUAAGAAUUCAUAUCCUGAGAAUGAAUAAAAAUCUAAAUGGCUAGCUAUGGUCACUGCAGGAUCUCUCACGCUGCCAAGUGGAGAUGAUGGAGAACUUCGACAAGUCAUAAGUGAGAAGAUUGAAGAUUAAUAUUCAUAAAUUGGUGAACUAAACUAUGAUUUUAGUAUAUUCUCAAUUUUAUUUUCACAUGUUUUGGGUAAUGUUCACUUAUUUUCGAUGUCAAAUCACUGUUGACAGAUUCUUAACAAGGCAUUUAAAGUAACGUGUGACUGAUUACUGAGUGCAUACGCAUGUUUAAACAAAUAAAGUAUGUAUUAUAUAAUGACUAAUAAACUUGUUUUCAUUUCAA